UUUGAUCGUCUUUUUG
rnacentral:sRNA from 1 species